GACGAACGCUGGCGGCGUGCUUAACACAUGCAAGUCGAACGGAAAGGCCUGCUUUCCCUUGUGGAUUGCGGGUACUCGAGUGGCGAACGGGUGAGUAACACGUGAGUGAUCUGCCCCCAACUUGGGUAUAAGCCUGGGAAACUGGGUCUAAUUCCCGAUAGGACUGCAGGGUGGUGCCUGUGGUGGAAAACGAUUUUCUAGUGGUUGGGGAUGAGCUCGCGGCCUAUCAGCUUGUUGGUGGGGUAAUGGCCUACCAAGGCGGCGACGGGUAGCCGGCCUGAGAGGGUGGACGGCCACAUUGGGACUGAGAUACGGCCCAGACUCCUACGGGAGGCAGCAGUGGGGAAUAUUGCACAAUGGGCGGAAGCCUGAUGCAGCGACGUCGCGUGGGGGAUGACGGCCUUCGGGUUGUAAACUCCUUUCGACCGCGAGGAAGCCACCUGGUUGGAAGGGUGGUGACGGUAGUGGUAGAAGAAGCACCGGCUAACUACGUG
rnacentral:rRNA from 1 species